rnacentral:rRNA from 1 species
UGGGGAAUAUUGGACAAUGGGCGCAAGCCUGAUCCAGCAAUGCCGCGUGUGUGAAGAAGGCCUGCGGGUUGUAAAGCACUUUCAGCGGGAAAGAACCGUCCGGGGCCAAGACCUCCGGGCGUUGACGUUACCUGCAGAAGAAGCACCGGCUAACUCCGUGCCAGCAGCCGCGGUAAUACGGAGGGUGCGAGCGUUAAUCGGAAUCACUGGGCGUAAAGCGCGCGUAGGCGGCCUGUUAAGUCGGAUGUGAAAGCCCCGGGCUCAACCUGGGAACCGCAUACGAUACUGACCGGCUCGAGUGCGGUAGAGGGGGGUGGAAUUCCGGGUGUAGCGGUGAAAUGCGUAGAGAUCCGGAGGAACACCAGUGGCGAAGGCGGCCCCCUGGACCGACACUGACGCU